GUACCUUUAGUAUAAUGGCCUUUCAAGAGAUUUUGCUGUAUUAAGCACCUCCCGAAAUAAAAAGAUUUUUAGGAAAGCAAAAUAGAAGAGGUAUUCGAUGUAUGAAUUCUUGAAUAAACUUUGCUAAGGAUGUGAUAUGCAACUUCGAGUUUUAAGAUAGCUGGUUGUUCGAGAAAUGCUUUUAAGUGCAGCUUUGACGUCGGGUGUGGUGUGUGUUAAAGGGUGCUCACUAAAUCAGUAUGUCAGAAGUGAAAAGUCUAGCUAAAGGUUGGAUUUAAAAGUGCUUUCUAAAUUACCAAAUUUUUAGAAAGAGAAAUUGGGUUUAUGCUGCCCAUUUUGUUAUGAGUAUUUAACAACUUGUCUUUCUAACAGUAAAAGAAUUAUUUUUUAAAAAUGAGGCUAAAAGAAUCGUUCACCUAUCUAAGAUAUCAUUUGAUUGAUUAUUAUGCUGGG
rnacentral:rRNA from 1 species